GAUCGCUCAAAGAAGUCUUGGAAGUUAGGGUGGAAUUUGCAGCUGGCUACUAUUGUUUACUCGGGAGCAUUGGCGACAGCUGCAACUUUUUGCUUAAUCUCAUGGACAGUUAGGAAAAAGGGUCCCACCUAUCCAUCCAUGUUUAACCCUAUAUCAGUGAUUCUUGUAGCCAUAACUGAAGCUCUCUUCCUAGGCCAAGAUAUAAGUGAGGGAAGCUUGUUAGGGAUGUUUGUCAUCGUAGUGGGCUUGUACUUAUUUUUAUGGGGCAAGAACAUGGAAAUUAAAAGCAUGGAUCAAGAGCAAAAGGAGGCAACAAGGAUGCAGCACACAGGGAUAGUGGUGCCCACUAAAAUUGAUAUCUUAUAAAACAUACUAGCCAUGCCCACCAGUCACAAUAUAAACUAGCUAAUAUGGUUAAUGCAUCUUUAAAGAAGUUUGUAAAAGAACUCAAGUUGAUUAAUUAUAACAAUA